rnacentral:lncRNA from 1 species
GCAAAUAAUUAAAAGUUCAUGUUACGAUCUGAUAAGUGCUUGUUUUAGGACACUAAGCUUGUCCUUGGGAAACCAUCAAUCAACUCAUCGAGAUCUACAAUAUUUAUUAUAGACAUAUGCAUCGACAACCGCUCUUUUAAAGUUUUUAUAAAUAGAAAGGAAGAGGGGGUUGGAGAUCUUAAAUGUGGAGAUGUUGGAGAGACCAAUAGAUUGGGAAGAUGUUUUAUAUGAGCAAGGACUGGGUGAGGUAUUUAUGAAAUAACUUCCAUGCUCACUGUUGUUUCUCUCAUUCUCAAACUCCAAGGAUGAUUCUUCAUGAAUGCUUAAAAUUCCUCU